rnacentral:rRNA from 1 species
UUUCCCUCAGGAUAGCUGGCACUCGCUCAUAGCGAGUCUCAUCUGGUAAAGCGAAUGAUUAGAGGCCUUGGGGCCGAAACGACCUCAACCUAUUCUCAAACUUUAAAUGGGUGAGAUCUCUGGCUUGCUUGAAGUUUGAAGCCACGAGAUUAAUUAUAAUAAAAUGGAUCAGAGUGCCAAGUGGGCCAAUUUUGGUAAGCAGAACUGGCGCUGUGGGA